GCAGCGUAACCCGCUGCAUGCACGCCUAGCCGCACAACUGCAGCCUGGCGAGUAUCUGCUUGGAGACUCAGGAUAUCCUCUCGAGCCAUGGCUGCUUGUUCCAGUACCUGGCAGCCAUGCCGGCACCACCUCUGAAGGCCACUACAACCAGGAGCACGCAUCCAUGCGCAAUGUUGUGGAGAGAUGUAUCGGGGUGUUGAAAAGCAAGUUCCGCUGCUUGCAGCGCUUUCGGACACUGCUGUACAGCCCCGAUAGAGCAGCGCGAAUCAUUUAUGCAUGCGUUGCUCUCCAUAACAUUGCCUUGGAGGCGGGCGACUGGACAUUGGAGGAUUAUGGUGGGGAAGUGCCACCAGCUGAGGAGCCAGAGGAGCCAGGAGACAUACAGGUGCUGGCACCACAAGACGUGUUCCUCAGAGGAAGGCAGCAGCGCAGCGCAGUUGUCAACCUUUUCUGAAGGACACAGGAAUGGUGCUCAGCGAUGUCCUGCGCUAUGGCGCGCACCUGUUCCAGGAUCCCCUCCUGGGCUGCUGCCGUCCGUUCUGCCGCGACAGCGAGGCGGGUUGUUGAAGCCUCGAUUCUGCGCAGCACCUGGAAUGAAUAAUCAUGGUGGAACUGUUCGCAUCAGUUGCUGAUUACUCGCAACCAGCUCACGGCUGCAAGCUGCUGUUGUGAAGAAUUGCAACGUGCACAACGAUUCCCUCUCUGCUGAAGAGCCACUGGCCUGAUGGCAUUCUUUGGCAGUGUCAAGCGUCGCGUACAAGCUAUACCCUCUUCGUUUGGACAGACAAAGACCUGCUGGAACUACUCUUCCGUCAUCUAUUCUAAUGCAUCUCUCACCACCAAACAGCCCU
rnacentral:lncRNA from 1 species